GCCAACAGGUGCUACUUUGGACUGAGUAGGCAAUUGAAAAGUAAAGUCCUCUCUCGACGAACCAAAAUCAAACUCUAUAAGUCGCUCAUUAUUCCCGUCCUGAUGUAUGGCGCUGAAGCGUGGACGAUGACAACAUCCGAUGAGACGACUCUUGGGGGUUUUCGAGAGAAAGGUAUUGGGCAAGAUUUAUGGUCCUCUAAACAUUGGCAACGGCGAAUACCGCAGACGAUGGAACGAUGAGCUGUACGAUUUAUACGACGACAUUGACAUAUUUCAGCGAAUAAAAAGACAGCGGCUACGCUGUCUAGGUCAUGUUGUACGGAUGGAAGAAAACACUCCAGCUCUGAAAUUAUUCGAUGCAGUACCCGCUGGAGGAAGCCGCGGAAGAGGACGACCUCCACUCCGGUGGAAAGACCAAGUGCAAAGUGACCUGGCUUCACUUGGUGUUUCCAGUUGGCGCCAAAAAGCAAAAAGGAGGAAUGAGUGGCGCGCUCUGGUGGAUUCGGCUAUAAUCGCUUAAAGCGGUUCCUACGCCAAAUAUAUAUAUAUAUAAAUUGUCGGUUAAUAUUUGUUUACAUUUUCAAAAGAAUGGAGAAAAAACGAAUGUAAAAAAAGAAGAAAUUCGUGUGGUGAGAGGGAGGAAGCGCUCCUAGUUAAAUUGUGACAAAAUAACGUGUGUGUGCUCUACGCAGGCCCAGAAAAAAUAGCCACAUUUUAGGGGAAAUGGCAGUGGAGUUGCAGCAAGGUGUGUCAAUAAACAGUAAUCUUUUUUGCAAGGCUAAGGUGCUGGGCAGUAAGAGUUUCGAUCAAUUCUCUUAAAGAAUCAUCGUUGCGCACGAUAUUUAUCAAGCUUUUCAAAGCCAAUACCUUCAUUAUUAAAAUUGUCUUGUCGUGAUUCUAUAAAACCCGAUCAUUAAUAAUAAUUAUACAGGCAUGUUCUGCAAAUCGAUUUUGGACAAUAUUUUCGCAUUUUCCGUUUCAAAUCGUUUGACAUGUUCUGUAAAUCGUUCCGUUUUUGUUUUUUUCGAAUAUCACCAAAUCGUUUUGUAGUUCACUUCGGAUCAAAUUUAGGAUAUUUUGCUUCUACCCAUAGCAAUAUCGGUAUACUUUCCAACAGAACGUUGAUAUGAACCUUCAGCGAAAAAUCUAAGACUUGCCACCAAUUUUAUUAAAUUAGGUGUGGACGUUUCUCUUCCUAAUGGUAAGUAUUUCUGAAAAUGUAUACUUACUUCACCGACAUCUGGAAACAAACCUGAAACAAAAAGAAAUCAUCUCAAGUCGACAGUAGAAACGUUUUAGCAAAACUUAAGGGGAAUCCGGUGCAGACAGAGGAUUAGAACGGUCUCUCAAAUGCCCCCAGCAAGUCAUCGGUACUGAAACUCCAACACACUUUUAAUAACACAUGUGCAACAAAGGGUAAAGUGUGCAUGAAUUUACCUGAACUUCUUCUGUUCUGUCGUACAGCACCCUGAAUGAGAGAAAGAAACAACCAAAGUUCUCGUGUGUUUGAAACAGUUUUGUUUUGAGCUAUGUAUAUCAUGGCUGCUUGUGAAUUAUUAUUUUCCGUGUUUUAUUUAAAUCAGUGAUCUGCAGACUAAUUAAAGUUUAAAUUAUUGAACCACGCAUUUUAAAUAAGUAAAACGUAAAAUAUAAGUUUUCUAAAACCAAAACAUGGAAUUGAAGAGGGUGAUACAGCAAUACUUCACCUCACUGUCAAUUCCAAGCACGCAAUAGAUGCUUCGCCAACAAUAGUCAACAUCAAGUGCGAAACAAUGGAAUACAUAUUUCAAAUCUCAUACGGCGCGUUAAAGGUACGAAACCUAAUUGGUGUCACUUAUGGGUAGCAGCGAAGAACUCUCGGAGGGAUAGAAAUAUGUGUUGCAAGCAAAUCCAGAACUAUGGACGCAAACGUUGCUACAUCGAAGGCAAAUCAUUUACGCACCCGAUAUUAGUAUGAUAGUCUUUCAACUUGAAAUUCGUCCUGGUUCAGUCAUAUGUGGUUGAAUCGGAACUAGUGUAAAUGAAAAAACAGAUCCUACAAAAACUCCUAAAGAAACCAAGAAAAGGCCUCACAUAAUGUGCGCAGCUUACACUUCCUGGCCACAUGGGGUAGCAAUCGUCAGAUAGCAAAAAAUUUUCAACUAUUCAAUUGUAUAUACAUACAUAUAUAAUGUAGUACGAUAAUACAAGUAACAAGUAAACACCUAUGUCACAUAGGCUAUGUGUCAUGAUAUUGUAACGAAAAUGGUACCAGAACAAACUAGAACUGACUAUCGAAAUCGAUAACUUGCCAGAUGUAUCUAGACAUCGAUACUCGUAGUUGCCAGAAUGUUCGAGUGGCGAUGUAUCGCUAACAAUCGACUAUAUAAGGGCUGCCGGGUUGACACAGUUCUGAUAAGAGAGUUAUCGAGUGAGGACAAUUCUAAGGAGAGAGUUGUCGAGCAAAGUGUAAACAAGUUAUAAGUUAGAGUUGUAAAGUAGAGUAUUGAGUACUAAAGUGUUAAGUUAUAAGGAAUUAGAAAUAAAGAUUAGUGUAUAGCCAUUAAA